rnacentral:lncRNA from 1 species
UAACAUAGAAAUUCAAAAAUAUACUAAAAUAUAAACCUUAAUUAAAAUUUAGUCAAAUUAAUCAAAUUCUAGUCAAAUCCUAGUCAAAUCCUAGUCAAAUCUUAACCAAAUCCUAAAUAAAUCGUAAUCAAAUCUUAACAAAUUCUAAACAAAUCUUAAUCAAAUCAUAGUCAAAUCCUAGAUAAAUUCUAAUAAAAUCCUAAAUAAAUCUUAACCAAAUCCUAAAAGAACCUUAAUCAAAUUCUAAUCAAAUCUUAAACAAAUUCUAAUCAAAUUCUAAACAAAUCCUAAAUAAAUCCUAAAUACAACUUAAUCAAAUCCUAAAC